rnacentral:rRNA from 1 species
UACGUAGGGACCGAGCGUUGUCCGGAAUCAUUGGGCGUAAAGAGCGUGUAGGCGGCCAGGUAGGUCUGCUGUGAAAACUCGAGGCUCAACCUCGAGACGUCGGCGGAAACCAUCUGGCUAGAGUCCGGAAGAGGAGAGUGGAAUUCCUGGUGUAGCGGUGAAAUGCGCAGAUAUCAGGAAGAACACCCGUGGCGAAGGCGGCUCUCUGGGACGGUACUGACGCUGAGGCGCGAAAGCGUGGGGAGCGAACAGG